rnacentral:rRNA from 1 species
UACGGAGGGUGCAAGCGUUGUUCGGAAUUAUUGGGCGUAAAGGGCGCGUAGGUGGCGGGACAAGCGUGCGGUGAAAGCCUGGGGCUCAACCCCGGGUCGGCCGUGCGAACUGUUUUGCUUGAGCACUGUAGAGGCAGGCGGAAUUCCGGGUGUAGCGGUGGAAUGCGUAGAGAUCCGGAAGAACACCGGUGGCGAAGGCGGCCUGCUGGGCAGUAGCUGACACUGAGGCGCGACAGCGUGGGGAGCAAACAGG